AGCACCUAUGUGGGUGUUUGACGUGUGAACAAAAACUUGGAGACAGGUGCAAAAACUAAAUCCUCUUCUGUAACCCAGAACUCAUUGUUCUGUAUGAGUUCUGAUACAGAUAAGAGGGAACAUG